rnacentral:rRNA from 1 species
AUUGAACGCUGGCGGCAUGCUUUACACAUGCAAGUCGAACGGUAACAGGCCUUCGGGUGCUGACGAGUGGCGAACGGGUGAGUAAUGCACCGGAACGUGCCCAGAGGUGGGGGAUAACGCAGCGAAAGCUGUGCUAAUAUCGCAUGUGAUAUGAGGACGAAAGCGGGGGACCAAGUAGCAAUGUUUGGCCUCGUGCCUCUGGAGCGGCCGAUGUCGGAUUAGGUAGUUGGUGGGGUAAAGGCCUACCAAGCCGGCGAUCUGUAGCUGGUCUGAGAGGACGACCGGCCGCACGAGAGCGGGGACGCGGCCCAGGGUCCUGCGAGAGGCAGCAGUGGGGAAUGGUGGACAGUAGGCGGGAACCUGGUCCAGCGAUGGCACGUGCGAUGAAGAGAGCUUCCGGUUGUGAACCGCUUUUGUGCGGAGCAAAAAGGCUCUGGCUAAGACCUAGGGCUAGUGACGGUACCGGAAGAAUAAGCACCGGCUAACUACGUG